CACCUCUUGGUGCUUACCACAGGCUCUGUGUUCUUACACUGCCUGUACAGAAAGAGGAGGCAGAGUAAACCCACUCCGUGUACGCCUCAGCCCAGGACCUUUGCCUGGUCUGUACUGUGAAUGGGGGGACACAA